GAUGAACGCUGGCGGCGUGCUUAACACAUGCAAGUCGAACGGUGAAGGCGGAGCUUGCUCUGCUGGAUCAGUGGCGAACGGGUGAGUAACACGUGAGCAAUCUGCCCCUGACUCUGGGAUAAGCGCUGGAAACGGCGUCUAAUACUGGAUACGAGCUGCGAAGGCAUCUUCAGCAGCUGGAAAGAACUUCGGUCAGGGAUGAGCUCGCGGCCUAUCAGCUUGUUGGUGAGGUAACGGCUCACCAAGGCGUCGACGGGUAGCCGGCCUGAGAGGGUGACCGGCCACACUGGGACUGAGACAGGGCCCAGACUCCUACGGGAGGCAGCAGUGGGGAAUAUUGCACAAUGGGCGAAAGCCUGAUGCAGCAACGCCGCGUGAGGGACGACGGCCUUCGGGUUGUAAACCUCUUUUAGCAGGGAAGAAGCGAAAGUGACGGUACCUGCAGAAAAAGCGCCGGCUAACUACGUG
rnacentral:rRNA from 1 species